UCUCCUGGAAAACGGGUGGUAAUGCCGGAUGUUCCACAUGAUCGCAUGUGAUUGUGGGAAAGAUUUCAUCGGCGUGGGAUGGGGUCGCGUCCUAUCAGCUUGUUGGUGAGGUAACGGCUCACCAAGGCUUCGACGGGUAGCCGGCCUGAGAGGGCGACCGGCCACAUUGGGACUGAGAUACGGCCCAGACUCCUACGGGAGGCAGCAGUGGGGAAUAUUGCACAAUGGGCGCAAGCCUGAUGCAGCGACGCCGCGUGAGGGAUGGAGGCCUUCGGGUUGUAAACCUCUUUUGUUUGGGAGCAAGCCUUCGGGUGAGUGUACCUUUCGAAUAAGCGCCGGCUAACUACGUGCCAGCAGCCGCGGUAAUACGUAGGGCGCAAGCGUUAUCCGGAUUUAUUGGGCGUAAAGGGCUCGUAGGCGGCUCGUCGCGUCCGGUGUGAAAGUCCAUCGCUUAACGGUGGAUCUGCGCCGGGUACGGGCGGGCUGGAGUGCGGUAGGGGAGACUGGAAUUCCCGGUGUAACGGUGGAAUGUGUAGAUAUCGGAAAGAACACCA
rnacentral:rRNA from 1 species